GGGGAUAUAGCUCAGUUGGUAGAGUGCUUGCCUCAUAUGCACAAGGCCCUGGGUUUAAUUCCUAGUACCA
rnacentral:tRNA from 1 species